ACUAAAAAAAGCACUUAGAAAUUGUAUAACUUUUAAUAGAAAAUUGAACCAGACACAAUUCACAAUAGUUGACGAACCAAUUGAUGUUAACUUUCGUUAUUCCUCUUCGAAAGCUACUUUUCUCGAAUCUGAAAUUUAGCGCGCCAAAGUCGUUUCCGAUUGCUAAUUCUCAUUUGACUAUGGAGCUUGAAGUCUUUCAUAAGGAAAGUUGGCUGUAUCAGUGUUGCUACUACAUUUACUGGUAGCCUAUUCUAAAAUCGUCUCUGGUUGAAAAAGACUCUUCUGGCCCCAGAGAAUUACCCUUUUGGUCCCUUUCUAGUAAGUCAUGAUGAAAAUGACCGUAAGGGUAAGAAAAAGG